rnacentral:rRNA from 1 species
UACGGGGGGGGCAAGCGUUGUUCGGAAUUACUGGGCGUAAAGGGCGCGUAGGCGGCCUGCUAAGUCGGACGUGAAAUCCCUCGGCUCAACCGAGGAACUGCGUCCGAUACUGGUGGGCUUGAAUCCGGGAGAGGGAUGUGGAAUUCCAGGUGUAGCGGUGAAAUGCGUAGAUAUCUGGAGGAACACCGGUGGCGAAGGCGGCAUCCUGGACCAACACUGACACUGAGGAGCGAAAGCCAGGGGAGCAAACGGG